rnacentral:sRNA from 12 species
GGGUAUAACCUAUUUUAUAGCCGAUACCCUUUCUUUUGAUGCCCUUGCACGGACGCUUCUUGCAUGGCGGGCGUAUGUGCCUAUUCCCGUUUCAUGUGUCAGGGCAAAGCAGAUUAGACGGCACCCUACAAUUUAUCUGUACGAAAGGCGAAUACUUUUAUUAUGAACA